rnacentral:rRNA from 1 species
GAUGAACGCUGGCGGUGUGCCUAACACAUGCAAGUCGAACGGCAACACGAGGAGAUUUUUCUCUUACCGUUAGCGAGGGGCGGGCGGGUGAGGCAUGCAUCGGAUUCUUCUUUUUCUUGGGUGAUAACGUGGGACAGCUGCCGCUACUAGCUCAUAUGAUCUACCGGUUGGUUCAGUGGUUCUUGGCGCUUUUGCCGUUUCAAUUAGCCGAUGUCGGAUUAGCUAGUUGGCUGGGUAAGGGCCCACCAAGGCGACGAUGCGUAGCUGGUCUGAGAGGAUGAUCAGCCACACUGGAACUGAGACACGGUCCAGACUCCUACGGGAGGCAGCAGUGGGGAAUCUUGGACAAUGGGCGCAAGCCUGAUCCAGCAACACCGCGUGAGUGAAGAAGGUCUUCGGGUUGUAAAGCUCUUUUAUUGGGAAAGAAAAGAAGCAGAUUAAUCCCCCGCUGUUUUGACGGUACCCAAACAAAAAGCAACGGCUAACUUCGUG